UACGUAGGUGACAAGCGUUGUCCGGAUUUACUGGGCGUAAAGAGCGCGCAGGCGGUCGUUCAAGUCGAGUGUGAAAGCCCCCGGCUCAACUGGGGAGGGUCAUUCGAUACUGAUCGACUCGAAGGCAGGAGAGGGAAGUGGAAUUCCCGGUGUAGUGGUGAAAUGCGUAGAUAUCGGGAGGAACACCAGUGGCGAAGGCGGCACUCUGGGCCAGUACUGACGCUGAGGAGCGAAAGCGUGGGGAGCGAACAGG
rnacentral:rRNA from 1 species